rnacentral:rRNA from 1 species
UACAGAGGGUGCAAGCGUUGUUCGGAAUUAUUGGGCGUAAAGCGCGUGUAGGCGGCCUAGUAAGUUGGGUGUGAAAGCCCUCGGCUUAACCGAGGAAGUGCGCCCAAAACUGCAAGGCUUGAGUACCGGAGAGGAUGGCGGAAUACCCGGUGUAGAGGUGAAAUUCGUAGAUAUCGGGUGGAACACCAGUGGCGAAGGCGGCCAUCUGGACGGAUACUGACGCUGAGACGCGAAAGCGUGGGGAGCAAACAGG